rnacentral:rRNA from 1 species
UCGAGAAUCUUCCGCAAUGGGCGAAAGCCUGACGGAGCGACGCCGCGUGAUUGAUGAAGUCUUUAGGGAUGUAAAAAUCUUUUCUCAAGGAGGAAGUUUAUUGACGUUACUUGAGGAAUAAGGGGUUGCUAAACUCGUGCCAGCAGCAGCGGUAAUACGAGUGCCCCGAGCGUUAUCCGGAAUUAUUGGGCGUAAAGGGUGCGUAGGCGGUUUUGUUAGUCUUUUGUUAAAACCUCGGGCUCAACCUGAGAUCAGCAAAAGAUACGGCAAAACUAGAGAAUGCGAGGGGUGAAUGGAACUCAUAGUGUAGGGGUGAAAUCCGUUGAUAUUAUGGGGAACACCAAAAGCGAAGGCAAUUCACUGGCGCAUUUCUGACGCUGAGGCACGAAAGCAUGGGUAGCGAAUG